GUGCUCACUUCAGCAGCACAUACAUUAAAUUGGAAUGAUACAGAGAAGAUUAGCAUGACCCCUGCGCAGGGAUGACAUGUAAAUUCAUGAAGCGUUAAAGAAGUAU
ensembl:snRNA U6 U6 spliceosomal RNA